AAUGGAGAGUUUGAUCCUGGCUCAGGANNAACGCUAGCUACAGGCUUAACACAUGCAAGUCGAGGGGCAGCAUGGACUUAGCUUGCUAAGUCCGAUGGCGACCGGCGCACGGGUGAGUAACACGUAUCCAACCUUCCGGUUACUCCGGUAUAGCCUUUCGAAAGAAAGAUUAAUCCCGGAUAGUAUGGUGAUUCCGCAUGGUUUCUCCAUUAAAGGAUUCCGGNAACCGAUGGGGAUGCGUUCCAUUAGGCGGUUGGCGGGGUAACGGCCCACCAAACCUACGAUGGAUAGGGGUUCUGAGAGGAAGGUCCCCCACAUUGGAACUGAGACACGGUCCAAACUCCUACGGGAGGCAGCAGUGAGGAAUNUUGGUCAAUGGGCGUAAGCCUGAACCAGCCAAGUNGCGUGAAGGAUGACUGCCCUAUGGGUUGUAAACUUCUUUUAUAAGGGAAUNAAUUGAGGCNCGCNNNNNNNUUUGCAUGUACCUUAUGAAUAAGGAUCGGCUAACUCCGUGCCAGCAGCCNCGGUAAUACGGAGGAUCCGAGCGUUAUCCGGAUUUAUUGGGUUUAAAGGGAGCGUAGGCGGGCGCUUAAGUCAGCUGUGAAAGUUUGGGGCUCAACCUUAAAAUUGCAGUUGAUACUGGGCGUCUUGAGUGCGGCACAGGCAGGCGGAAUUCGUGGUGUAGCGGUGAAAUGCUUAGAUAUCACGAGGAACUCCGUUCGCGAAGGCGGCUUGCCGGACCGUAACUGACGCUGAUGCUCGAAAGUGUGGGUAUCAAACAGGAUUNGAUACCCUGGUAGUCCACACGGUAAACGAUGAAUACUCGCUGUUUGCGAUAUNCAGUAAGCGGCCAAGCGAAAGCGUUAAGUAUUCCACCUGGGGAGUACGCCGGCAACGGUGAAACUCAAAGGAAUUGACGGGGGCCCGCACAAGCGGAGGAACAUGUGGUUUNAUUCGAUNAUACGCGAGGAACCUUACCCGGGCUUGAAUUGCAACCGAAUUACCUUGAAAGGGGUAAGCCGCAAGGCGGUUGUGAAGGUGCUGCAUGGUUGUCGUCAGCUCGUGCCGUGAGGUGUCGGCUUAAGUGCCAUAACGAGCGCAACCCUUAUCGACAGUUACCAUCGGGUCAUGCCGGGGACUCUGUCGAGACUGCYGUCGUAAGAURCGAGGAAGGGGGGGAUGACGUCAAAUCAGCACGGCCCUUACGUCCGGGGCUACACACGUGUUACAAUGGGGGGUACAGCAAGCCGCCCGGCGGCGACGCCCGGCUAAUCCUAAAAACCCCUCUCAGUUCGGACUGGAGUCUGCAACCCGACUCCACGAAGCUGGAUUCGCUAGUAAUCGCGCAUCAGCCACGGCGCGGUGAAUACGUUCCCGGGCCUUGUACACACCGCCCGUCAAGCCAUGAAAGCCGGGGGUACCUGAAGUGCGUAACCGUAAAGGAGCGCCCUAGGGUAAAACCGGUGAU
rnacentral:rRNA from 1 species